UACGUAGGGUGCGAGCGUUAAUCGGAAUUACUGGGCGUAAAGCGUGCGCAGGCGGUUCUAUAAGACCGAGGUGAAAUCCCCGGGCUCAACCUGGGAACUGCCUUUGUGACUGUAUAGCUUGAGUGCGGCAGAGGGGGAUGGAAUUCCGCGUGUAGCAGUGAAAUGCGUAGAUAUGCGGAGGAACACCGAUGGCGAAGGCAAUCCCCUGGGCCUGCGCUGACGCUCAUGCACGAAAGCGUGGGGAUCAAACAGG
rnacentral:rRNA from 1 species